UUAGGUAGUUUUGGGUAUUUCCCCACCCCCUUUUGUGGUGUGGGAUGCCAUGGGCGCGCCAUUAAGGCUUUGGCCAUCUUGUGCUACCACACCACCCCGAAAGGGGGUGUGUGGUGAAUUGCUCGAAGGCUAUGAUCCCUCUCUUCGUACUGUGUUGGCUACGUGUACGCUUUAGAUGAGAUUCUAACGGUCCUAUUUGUUUGUUGUUGGUACGAUUUUGUUGUUUUGUGUGUGUUGGCGUACGAUUCACCAUCUGGUAUGUACAAUUUGAUUUUGUUUUGUUAUUCCUAG